CAGCAGCCGCGGUAAUACGAAGGGGGCUAGCGUUGCUCGGAAUGACUGGGCGUAAAGGGCGCGUAGGCGGUUCGGAUAGUUAGAUGUGAAAUUCCCGGGCUUAGCCUGGGGACUGCAUUUGAUACCUCCGGGCUUGAGUGUGGAAGAGGGUCGUGGAAUUCCCAGUGUAGAGGUGAAAUUCGUAGAUAUUGGGAAGAACACCGGUGGCGAAGGCGGCGACCUGGUCCAUAACUGACGCUGAGGCGCGAAAGCGUGGGGAGCAAACAGGAUUAGAUACCCGAGUAGUCCCUGUCUCUUAUAA
rnacentral:rRNA from 1 species